UGCACAAAGGGCAGGACAGGCUGUUUGGGAUGUGCCACUUCUGCUCAAUUCAAAUGCAGACUUCAUCAGGGCAGCUGGCAGAAGGGAUGGCUCCAGUCCUUCAUGCUCACAGACACGGUCCCCCUGCCCAUGGCUUUGUUUGGUGCUAUCUGUCUGCUUUCCCAAUUAGCCACUGUACUGCUACCUUUCCUAGCAGACAUGAUGCAAAAUAAAUGACCUAAGAGUUCCCCCAGCACAUGGCUCAUUAGUGACGGACCAAACACCAGGAAAAGCACGCAAAGGGCUGGUUCAGCCUGGCAAGGAGGUGAGAUGAAUGAUCUACCAGCUUCUUUCCCCUUGUAGAAUGUGGGGCCACACACCAAAGGCACCAAGUUAGCACCCAGAGCCUGCGUCCUCCUGCAGCCAUGCAUUUCCACCCGAGCCCACAUGUUAUUCCAAAACCCUCGUGAACAUAUGUCUCUGACAGUUGUCAAAAAAUGUUGGACAGAGGCUCUGUGGUCAGCUUGAUCCGUCCCAUCUGGUACUCUGCUCUUUUUAUUCAUUGGACACUGGUCCCUCCAUUCACUGCAGCGAUAAUUUGAGUCAGAGCAGAGCCUGGCCCUUUGUUCCCAAAGCACCCAGCACCUUGCAGCAGCUGGAGAAUAGGUGAGGACUCCCUGGGGCUCAUGUCCGUGUCGAACUCUCUCUCUGCUUAUCAGACCCUUUGUUCCGGACCUGGCUCUGGCUGAACCUCGGUGAACUUCCCCCGCAUCCCCUUCCCCGCCGGCGAGCUCGCAGCCGUGAACUUCCCGUGCCCGACUCAAGCAUCUCCAAGAGGUGUGAUCUGAGCUGCAGCCGGAGGAAGGAGAUGGCCGACCCACCCCUGGCUCCCGCUCAGCCUCCCUAAUCAACGCAGGAAUGUCUCUGGACAUGAGUGCUCCCGGCUAAACUGCUCUGUGCACCACUUGGCUUGGCAAGUACUUCCUCUGCGAGCCAUCUGUGCAGGUCACACCAGGCAAAGCACACCACGUGCCCUGAUGGGUCAGCAUGUUUUAUCACACCGAGCCAGAAGAGAGUCUUGUGCUCCUGUGAUCCACUGGACGUUCUGUGGUCCAUGGAAAUCCUGAGGUCUAUGGAGGUCUUGUGGUCCCACUGCUGUUGCCAGGUGCAGUAACCCUCAGUGGGGAUGCUAUGGACCACCUCCCGCUGGCAGAGAUGGUGGCAACGUGGGCUGAGAGCAAAGGGAACAUCGUGCAGAAAGACCCUACGCAAGUGAGUAUGGAAGAGAGGAUGGAUAUUGAUGCUUGUGCCCCAGACCAGCCUGCUCCUUGUGACAGACUGCAAUAAGCCAUCGCUGGACGAUGAUAGAAAGGUUCUUUGAAAAUCUC